rnacentral:lncRNA from 1 species
GGUGGUACUAAUUGAGCAAACAAAUUCAUUUGACAAGCAUAAUUUGUUUAAACAGGAAAAAAAAAGUAAUUUCACUCGACAAAAAAGUAAAUCUGCUACAAGUUGAAGUAAAAGUCAGAGACCCAAGCCAAGCCAAGCUUACAUCCUCCGUCUAUUAUCUCAAGAAACAAAAACACACAACUAGAUAUAAUUAGUCAAGUCAAAAUGACUGAUCCGGCUAGCUAGGUAUUAUGUCCAGGAGGGUACGUAGGAGCCGUAGUCCCAGUACCCGGGGGCAUCAGGUGGUGGUGGUGGCCUUGGCCUGCAGCCGGGGCUACGGCUUCAACAGGAGCAUGAGGGUGGGGAUGGUGAAGGGAGUGCUUCCCGUAGAGUUUAUCAGCCGCGUGUUUAGCUUUGGCUUCAUGCAGCUUCAUCUUCGCUUCAGCUUCCUUGGCUUUCCUUUUUUCAUGAGUUAUUACUUCUUCUUCCUUUGUUCUUGCUGUUGCUUUCUCAGCCUGUAAAUAUCAUCAUAAACAAAUUAAUUAAGCAACUCUCUGACUGACUGACUGACUGACUUACUUUAUAUAUAUGUAUAUGAAUGUUUUCCCAAGCUACGUACUUAUGAAAAGUAGAUAUAUAGGUAGGUAACAAAUUAAGGUUGAAAAGGGUAGGGUGGAAAUUAACUAGUAGGAAAUACUAAUGCUUAAACCUUCUCUUGAACUUUGGCUUUGUAGAUUUCAACAUGCUCCUUCCCAGCACUGGCUGCGUUGCUCACCUUCUCCUUCACCGAUUCCAUUCUCUCGUAUCUGCUACUUAUUAAUUAAUUAAUAUUAAUAAUUUCAUACACUCACGAAUUAACACAGAAAUAUGAUAAGAUCGAUGGAAAUAUCUACUGCCAUAAAUUAAAGGUUAUGCCAAUAUAUAGGUGGCCAUGCCACGCGUCAUACAUGCAGACAUCUAUAUGUUCAAACAAUGCCAAGUGUGAAUGGGAUAGACGAGGACACGUAUUU